UACAGAGGGUGCAAGCGUUGUUCGGAGUUACUGGGCGUAAAGGGUGUGUAGGCGGUUUUCUAAGUCUGGUGUGAAAUCUCCCGGCUCAACUGGGAGGGUGCGCCGAAAACUGGAAGGCUAGAGUGCGGGAUGGGAGAGUGGAAUUCCUGGUGUAGCGGUGAAAUGCGUAGAUAUCAGGAGGAACACCUGUGGUGUAGACGGCUCUCUGGGCAACAACUGACGCUGAGGAGCGAAAGCGUGGGGAGCGAACAGG
rnacentral:rRNA from 1 species